GCAUGACUUUGGAUUUAUGGCAGGCUCAUCCCUCUGGGUCUCUCAUAGUGUGCUAUGCCACUGCAGAGUGGUUCCGAAGUAUGGCUUGCCAUCUACCUAUGGGCUGCUGGCACUAAAACUGGUUACACAGUA
ensembl:snoRNA